rnacentral:rRNA from 1 species
GACGAACCGUGCAAACGUUGUUCGGAAUCACUGGGCUUAAAGGGCGCGUAGGCGGGCCACCAAGUCCGGGGUGAAAUCUUUCGGCUCAACCGGAAAAUUGCCUUGGGUACUGGUGGUCUGGAGGGAGGUAGGGGCAUGUGGAACUUCCGGUGGAGCGGUGAAAUGCGUUGAUAUCGGAAGGAACGCCGGUGGCGAAAGCGACGUGCUGGACCUCUUCUGACGCUGAGGCGCGAAAGCUAGGGGAGCGAACGGG